UUCAACACCUGCGGCACAAACCAAUUUUUGACCUAUUGGUCCUAGUCUCAUAGGCGACCGAACGGCCGCCCCCUAAUUACUAGACCGACCCGCUAUAAUAAUUCCAUAAACACCUAGCGAAGAUAUGGCAAACAAAUAAAGUAGCCCUAUGUUCGGAUCUGACAAUACCAUACCAUAAUCAAAAGGUACAACGGCCCGAGCGACCAGACUUAACAUAAAUGUAGCCACUGGAGCCAUUCUAAAAAGGAAAAAAUUAGCACUACUUGGUGAAAUAGGUUCUUUUAGAAUCAAUUUCGAACCAUCUGCUAGAGGUUGUAACAAUCCGAACGAUCC